CUGACCCCUUUAACUGUACUGAGAACUUCUAUAAACCUAUAGAACCUUUUCUGCUAAAACUAGUAACAAGAGGUCCCCCUCUCCUUAAUGCAAGCACAACCCAGCAAGAACCAAUCACUGGCAACUAGCAGACAAUAAAUGUAGCAACUUCGCUAGAAAACCCUACUUCCAUCUCUGUUAACCUAACACUAGAGCAUUUCAAGAAAGAUUAAAAGAAAGAGAAGGAAUUCAGCAAAUAUAGCCUCGCCUGUUUACCAAAAACAUCGCCUCUUGCCCCCUAUAAGAGGUCCAGCCUGCCCAGUGACUCUGUUCAACGGCCGCGGUAUCCUAACCGUGCAAAGGUAGCGUAAUCACUUGUCUUCUAAAUAAAGACCAGUAUGAAAGGCACCACGAGGGCUAAACUGUCUCCUCUCUCUAAUCAGUGAACCUAAUCCCCCCGUGAAGAAGCGGGGAUUCCAAUAUAAGACGAGAAGACCCUAUGGAGCUUCAAACAUCAUAACACCUGCUAACUUUAAAUUACCCCGAUACUCACACAAUAGCACGCUGAUUAUAAGUUUUUGGUUGGGGUGACCGCGGAGAAAAACUAAUCCCCCGCAAUGAAAGGGACUUCCCUAAACUAUAAGCUAACAGCUUUACGUAUAAACAAAUUAACAUCAUUGACCCAAUAUUUGACCAACGAACCAAGUUACCCUAGGGAUAACAGCGCAAUCCACUUUGAGAGCUCCUAUCGACAAGUGGGCUUACGACCUCGAUGUUGGAUCGGGGUAUCCUAGUGGUGCAGCCGCUACU
rnacentral:rRNA from 1 species